AGCGAACGCUGGCGGCAGGCCUAACACAUGCAAGUCGAACGAACUCUUCGGAGUUAGUGGCGGACGUGUGAGUAACACGUGGGAACGUGCCUUUAGGUUCGGAAUAACUCAGGGAAACUUGAGCUAAUACCGGAUGUGCCCUUCGGGGGAAAGAUUUAUCGCCUUUAGAGCGGCCCGCGUCUGAUUAGCUAGUUGGUGAGGUAAAGGCUCACCAAGGCGACGAUCAGUAGCUGGUCUGAGAGGAUGAUCAGCCACAUUGGGACUGAGACACGGCCCAAACUCCUACGGGAGGCAGCAGUGGGGAAUCUUGCGCAAUGGGCGAAAGCCUGACGCAGCCAUGCCGCGUGAAUGAUGAAGGUCUUAGGAUUGUAAAAUUCUUUCACCGGGGACGAUAAUGACGGUACCCGGAGAAGAAGCCCCGGCUAACUUCGUG
rnacentral:rRNA from 1 species